GAUGAACGCUAGCUACAGGCUUAACACAUGCAAGUCGAGGGGAAACGACGGGGAAGCUUGCUUCUUCGGUCGUCGACCGGCGCACGGGUGAGUAACGCGUAUCCAACCUGCCUCUGACUAAGGGAUAACCCGUCGAAAGUCGGACUAAUACCUUAUGCAGUCGUCGGAAGUCAUCUGAUGACGACGAAAGAUUUCAUCGGUGAGAGAUGGGGAUGCGUCUGAUUAGCUUGUUGGUGGGGUAACGGCCCACCAAGGCGACGAUCAGUAGGGGUUCUGAGAGGAAGGUCCCCCACAUUGGAACUGAGACACGGUCCAAACUCCUACGGGAGGCAGCAGUGAGGAAUAUUGGUCAAUGGGCGCGAGCCUGAACCAGCCAAGUAGCGUGCAGGAUGACGGGCCCUAUGGGUUGUAAACUGCUUUUAUGCGGGGAUAAAGUGAGGGACGUGUCUUUCAUUGCAGGUACCCGCAUGGAAAAGGGCCCGGCUAUUUCCGUGGCCGCCACCCGCGGUAAUACGGAAGGGCCGGGGGUUUAUCCCGGAUUUAUUGGGGUUUAAAGGGAGCCUUAGGGCCUGGAAUUAAACCUGGUGGGGAAAAGGUAAACCCUUCAACGUUUGAUUUGCACCCCGAUCUGGGUCCCUUUGAGUGUGCACAACGCAGGGGGGAAUUCCUCCUGGUACCGGGGAAAUGCUAAAAAUUAGCCAAAAACCCCCCUAUUCCAAGGGAUUCUUGCGGAAACCCACUAGACCUUAACCCUAAUGGGCGGGUUUCAAACAGGUUUAAACCCGGGGAUCCAAGGGGAAAAUUCCACUUUGGUGCCCCCCGGGUAAACCACUAUUUUUUGAGGGGCCCCCCGCGGGCGUCAUAAAUCCCCAAGUAAGGGAGGUAUUCUCGCGCUCUCAGGCGCCUUUUUUAAAAAAAGU
rnacentral:rRNA from 1 species